rnacentral:rRNA from 1 species
GCAGUCGCCGCGGUAAUACGAAGGGUGCGAGCGUUAAUCGGAAUGACUGGGCGUAAAGGGCGCGUAGGCGGUUUGCCAAGUUAGAUGUGAAAUUCCCGGGCUUAACCUGGGGACUGCAUUUGAUACUGGCAGGCUUGAGUGUGGAAGAGGGUCGUGGAAUUCCCAGUGUAGAGGUGAAAUUCGUAGAUAUUGGGAAGAACACCGGUGGCGAAGGCGGCGACCUGGUCCAUAACUGACGCUGAGGCGCGAAAGCGUGGGGAGCAAACAGGAUUAGAUACCCCAGUAGUCCCUGUCUCUUAUAA